rnacentral:rRNA from 1 species
GGAGGGUGCAAGCGUUAAUCGGAAUUACUGGGCGUAAAGCGCGCGUAGGCGGUUUGGUCAGUCGGAUGUGAAAGCCCUGGGCUCAACCUGGGAAUGGCAUUCGAUACCGCCUGACUAGAGUAUGGUAGAGGGAAGUGGAAUUUCCGGUGUAGCGGUGAAAUGCGUAGAUAUCGGAAGGAACACCAGUGGCGAAGGCGACUUCCUGGGCCAAUACUGACGCUGAGGUGCGAAAGCGUGGGGAGCAAACAGGGAUUAGAUACCCUGGUAGUCCACGCCGUAAACGAUGAGAACUAGAUGUCGGGAGGGUUGCCUUUCGGUGUCGCAGCUAACGCGUUAAGUUCUCCGCCUGGGGGAGUACGCCGGCAACGGUA